GCUACGUUAGAAUUUGGUAAUCACACAGUAACUCGUGUAGGUGUGAUUUAUAGGCCCCCAGGACAAAUUGAAGAGUUAGAUAAUCUACUAGUUGAGGAAAUAGCUAAAAUGACAAUGAGGGGGGAAGUUAUCAUCAUGGGUGACUUUAAUCUUCCUGAUGUAAAUUGGAAAACAAAAUUAGCUACUUGUGCCAGGAGCACACAUAUUCUAAACUCCCUACUGGGAUUGUCUCUAAAACAAGUUGUUGAGGAGCCAACUCGUAAAGAGGCCAUGCUAGAUUUAGUGUUAACAAAUGGAGAUUUGGUAUCAGAUAUUACUGUAGGUGAAAGUUUAGGAUCCAGUGAUCAUCAGUCAGUGUGGUUUAAUAUAAGAACAGUGACUGAGUCACACCACACAAAAACAAAAGUUUUAGACUUUAGAAAAACAGACUUUUCUAAAAUUAGAAUAUGGGUAGAGGAGUCAUUAUCAGACUGGAG